rnacentral:rRNA from 1 species
ACACACCGCCCGUCACACCAUGAGAGUCGAUAACACCCGAAGCCUGUGAGCUAACAGUAAUGAAGCAGCAGUCGAAGGUAGAAUCAAUGAUUGGGUGAAGUCGUAACAAGGUACC